CAGCAACCGCGGUAAUACGGAGGGGGCUAGCGUUGUUCGGAAUUACUGGGCGUAAAGCGCACGUAGGCGGCUUGGUAAGUUAGAGGUGAAAGCCUGGAGCUCAACUCCAGAAUUGCCUUUAAGACUGCCGAGCUAGCAGGUGAGAGAGGUAAGUGGAAUUCCGAGUGUAGAGGUGAAAUUCGUAGAUAUUCGGAAGAACACCAGUGGCGAAGGCGGCUUACUGGCUCAUACUGGACGCUGAGGUGCGAAAGCGUGGGGAGCAAACAGGAUUAGAUACCCCCGUAGUCCCUGUCUCUUAUAC
rnacentral:rRNA from 1 species